UACGAAGGGGGCUAGCGUUGCUCGGAAUUACUGGGCGUAAAGCGCACGUAGGCGGCUUUCUAAGUCGGGGGUGAAAUCCUGGAGCUCAACUCCAGAACUGCCUUCGAUACUGGAGAGCUUGAGUCCGGGAGAGGUGAGUGGAACUGCGAGUGUAGAGGUGAAAUUCGUAGAUAUUCGCAAGAACACCAGUGGCGAAGGCGGCUCACUGGCCCGGUACUGACGCUGAGGAGCGAAAGCAUGGGGAGCGAACAGG
rnacentral:rRNA from 1 species